rnacentral:rRNA from 1 species
CAGCCGCCGCGGUAAUACGGAGGAUGCGAGCGUUAUUCGGAAUCAUUGGGUUUAAAGGGUCUGUAGGCGGGCUAUUAAGUCAGGGGUGAAAGGUCUCAGCUUAACUGAGAAAUUGCCUUUGAUACUGGUAGUCUUGAAUAUCUGUGAAGUUCUUGGAAUGUGUAGUGUAGCGGUGAAAUGCUUAGAUAUUACACAGAACACCGAUUGCGAAGGCAGGGGACUAACAGACAAUUGACGCUGAGAGACGAAAGCGUGGGGAGCGAACAGGAUUAGAUACCCCGGUAGUCCCUGUCUCUUAUAC